ensembl:lncRNA
UUCCAGCCCAUCCAGCUUCUCUCUGGAGCUUGGCAGAGCCUGGUGGUAGAACCACAUGGAAUCCGCGACUCCUGCCUGCUCUGAGAGUUGUGCUCACCAUUCCGGCUGGACACACACGCUCCACUUUUCCUGUCACUGGACUGGGAUGUUCAGAGGGCCGGGGGGGCUCAAGUGUUGACAGUUACACCUUCACCAGGUAGUCAUCCACAUGGGUGGGACUAGGAAGAGCAGAGGAGGGAAAGGGGAAGCAAGGGUGGAGGGAGGGCCACUCUUCGGACAGGCCCCGAGGGUGGGCCUUCAUGUGGAGACAGCACCUGCCUUCCCUUGACGCCCUGGGGCACAGGUGGCUCAGGACUCGGAAGGCCAGAUAAGGGAUGCCUCCUGGAGGCCUGUUGACCUCAUCCCCUGCUCCCACAAUCCCACUCCCAUGAUGAUAGAUGUGAAAGCGGAGUCCCAGAGAGGGGUAGUGAGUGACUCAAGGCCACACAAUGUCCUGCUCCUCGUCUGAGUGUAUUGCCCUGUGUCCUCCAGGCUCUGAUCUGCUCUAGCUCUCAGGCACUGUGAGGCACCUUCUGUCCCCCAGGGGUCCCCCGCAGGCCCUAGGCUGGGCCGUCUGCAGUGUCACAGCCUGGGGCCUGAAGACCUGCCCUCAGCCACCCUCUUCACAGGGAAGAAGAUUCAUGAGGCAGCCUCCAACAAGGGUUUCAUCCUGGUAGCAUCACAGAUGGAUAGAGACGUCCUCUCCCAGUCCCUGUGCCCGAUAAAUGGCUGGAGGGGCUCCUUGAGGCUGGACAAUUGGGACCUGCUGUCCAAGAAGACUGUGCAGCUCGCAUCCUGGCUGACC